rnacentral:rRNA from 1 species
GACGAACGCUGACGGUGUGCCUAAUACAUGCAAGUCGAACGAUGAGGCUCCUUCGGGAGUACAUCAGUGGCGGACGGCUGAGUAAUGCAUAGGUAACGUACCUCGCACUGGGGGAUAACAGAGGGAAGCUUCUGCUAAUACCGCAUACGAUGUUGAGUGAAAUUCUCAAUAUUGAAAACUCCGGUGGUGCGAGAUCGGCCUGUGUCCGAUUAGCUUGUUGGUGGGGUAAUGGCCUACCAAGGCUACGAUCGGUAGCUGGUCUGAGAGGAUGAUCAGCCAGAGUGGGACUGAGACACGGCCCACACUCCUACGGGAGGCAGCAGUAGGGAAUAUUGCGCAAUGGGCGAAAGCCUGACGCAGCAACACCGUGUGGAGGACGAAGGUCUUCGGAUCGUAAACUCCUGUCAGCAGGGAAGAUAAUGACUGUACCUGCAGAGGAAGCACCGGCUAACUACG